rnacentral:rRNA from 1 species
GACGAACGCUGGCGGCGUGCCUAAUACAUGCAAGUCGAGCGGACCAAACAGGAGCUUGCUCUUGUUUGGUUAGCGGCGGACGGGUGAGUAACACGUGGGUAACCUGCCCGUAAGACCGGGAUAACUCCGGGAAACCGGAGCUAAUACCGGAUAACACCGAAGACCGCAUGGUCUUUGGUUGAAAGGCGGCUUCGGCUGCCACUUAUGGAUGGGCCCGCGGCGCAUUAGCUAGUUGGUGAGGUAACGGCUCACCAAGGCGACGAUGCGUAGCCGGCCUGAGAGGGUGACCGGCCACACUGGGACUGAGACACGGCCCAGACUCCUACGGGAGGCAGCAGUAGGGAAUCUUCCGCAAUGGACGAAAGUCUGACGGAGCGACGCCGCGUGAGCGAAGAAGGUCUUCGGAUCGUAAAGCUCUGUUGUUAGGGAAGAAGAAGCGCCGUUCGAACAGGGCGGCGCGGUGACGGUACCUAACGAGAAAGCCCCGGCUAACUACGUG